rnacentral:rRNA from 1 species
AUUGAACGCUGGCGGCAGGCUUAACACAUGCAAGUCGAACGGUAACAGGGAUUAGCUUGCUAAUUUGCUGACGAGUGGCGGACGGGUGAGUAAUGCUUGGGAAUCUGGCUUAUGGAGGGGGAUAACUACGGGAAACUGUAGCUAAUACCGCAUAAUAUCGAAAGAUUAAAGGGUGGGACUUUCGGGCCACCUGCCAUGAGAUGAGCCCAAGUGGGAUUAGGUAGUUGGUUAGGUAAAGGCUGACCAAGCCGACGAUCUCUAGCUGGUCUGAGAGGAUGACCAGCCACACUGGAACUGAGACACGGUCCAGACUCCUACGGGAGGCAGCAGUGGGGAAUAUUGCACAAUGGGGGGAACCCUGAUGCAGCCAUGCCGCGUGAAUGAAGAAGGCCUUCGGGUUGUAAAGUUCUUUCGGUGACGAGGAAGGUUGAUAUGUUAAUAGCGUAUCAAAUUGACGUUAAUCACAGAAGAAGCACCGGCUAACUCCGUGCCAGCAGCCGCGGUAAUACGGGGGGUGCGAGCGUUAAUCGGAAUAACUGGGCGUAAAGGGCACGCAGGCGGUGACUUAAGUGAGAUGUGAAAGCCCCGGGCUUAACCUGGGAAUUGCAUUUCAUACUGGGUCGCUAGAGUACUUUAGGGAGGGGUAGAAUUCCACGUGUAGCGGUGAAAUGCGUAGAGAUGUGGAGGAAUACCGAAGGCGAAGGCAGCCCCUUGGGAAUGUACUGACGCUCAUGUGCGAAAGCGUGGGGAGCAAACAGGAUUAGAUACCCUGGUAGUCCACGCUGUAAACGAUGUCGAUUUGGGGAUUGGGCUUUAAGCUUGGUGCCCGUAGCUAACGUGAUAAAUCGACCGCCUGGGGAGUACGGCCGCAAGGUUAAAACUCAAAUGAAUUGACGGGGGCCCGCACAAGCGGUGGAGCAUGUGGUUUAAUUCGAUGCAACGCGAAGAACCUUACCUACUCUUGACAUCCAUGGAAUCUUGUACAGAUACAAGAGUGCCUUCGGGAACCAUGAGACAGGUGCUGCAUGGCUGUCGUCAGCUCGUGUUGUGAAAUGUUGGGUUAAGUCCCGCAACGAGCGCAACCCUUAUCCUUUGUUGCCAGCGGUUAGGCCGGGAACUCAAAGGAGACUGCCAGUGAUAAACUGGAGGAAGGUGGGGAUGAGGUCAAGUCAUCAUGGCCCUUACGAGUAGGGCUACACACGUGCUACAAUGGCGUAUACAGAGGGAAGCCAUCCUGCGAGAGGGAGCAUAAUCUCACAAAGCGCCACUCAGUCCGGAUUGGACUGUGCAACUCGCCUCCAUGAAGUCGGAAUAGCUAGUAAUCGCGAGUCAGACAGUCGCGGGGAAAAUGUGUUCCCGGCCU